GGACAAACUAUCAGUGAUACUUUUUUGGAAGCUAAAAGUAGAGCUUGGAAGAUUGAAACUGGUUAAAAAUUUAUUUUAAAAUGUUAAAAUAUAUUCUAAAUGAGUUUCACAAAUUGUCAGAGUGAGAACAUCGUAGACCUAACUAUAUAUAUUUCGCAACUAUGGUCAUAGAGUAAUAUAAUUGCUUUGUCAUGCAUAGCCAUGCGUUAAUCAUUAUAUAAGUGAAAAUAUCUUGAUGAUUUAAUAAACUGAGCAGAACUUACAGAAGUAAGAAUUUGUUCUACAAAGAUUAUUUAUAAAAUUAACUCUUAUAUAAUAGAUUGGUGAUCUUUGUAUUGCUGCUGGGCACUAAAAAAAUGACGUUCGUCUCUAAUCCCCACAUUAUUCAAUGUUUAUACUCUGUCACUAUAUGAAACAUUGUUGUAUCGACCAGUUUCAAUCGGUAAUCUAUGAGCUGAUAUUCUCAACUUUGUUUUUUUUAUAUGAAGUGCAAGAUAUAUUUAUUGACUAGUCCUGUAGGGCAUUGUAUAUACAGCCUUGCGGCUUUUAAAGUCAACAAGGUAUAUAUUCGCCGUUUGGUUUAUUUGCCAGAAAGGUAAAUUAUUGAUUUAGUAUUUCUACUAUAAACUCCUCUGAUAGGC
rnacentral:lncRNA from 1 species